AUGACUUUAGUUCUUUUUUUCGUAUUCAAUUUAUAUGACGUCAGCACUUUGAUUGACGUUUUGACAGAUUUUUUUUUUUUUUAAUAUUAUCUAAUGUGUGUGUGUCUGUGUGUGUGUUUUCAAAGGGGGGCCCACUCUGUUGCAUCAGAGUUUGAAGUAGAGGGAGAAAGCCAGUGAAAGGAGUGGCAGUUAUGGGCGGGGGAAACUUAAGAGUGUGUUCAAGACUGUUCCCUCUUGACGCUGACUGGUAGUCAGAAUCGAUACAGGCCUCCACCCAGUCAUCACUCCAGCGACGGAAUCGGAGUAGUCGUCGCCUUCAUCCUUGGAUGAUGCCAUGAUGAUUAAAAAUAGAAGACAUCGCAGCAUUCUGUCAGUGUCAAAACCAUCACGUUCCCUUCAUUGGUAGACCUACCAGUCGAAAAUCUUUCAUUUCCAUUCACAACUGGACGGAACGGAGAAUGAAACUGUAUUUGGCAAGGAUAAAUGGACAAUAUCAAAUCCUGCGAACAACCUGGCAUCCACCAGCUGAGCAUGCCAGUAACACAGAGCAUUCAGGAGACAUACAACAACAACAGACUACCGUUUCUAACA